rnacentral:rRNA from 1 species
UACGAAGGGGGGCUAGCGUUGCUCGGAAUCACUGGGCGUAAAGCGCACGUAGGCGGAUCUUUAAGUCAGGGGUGAAAUCCCAAGGCUCAACCUUGGAACUGCCUUUGAUACUGGGGAUCUCGAGUCCGGAAGAGGUUGGUGGAACUGCGAGUGUAGAGGUGAAAUUCGUAGAUAUUCGGAAGAACACCAGUGGCGAAGGCGACUUACUGGACGAUUGUUGACGCUGAGGUGCGAAAGCGUGGGGGAGCAAACAGG